UACGAAGGGGGGCUAGCGUUGUUCGGAAUUACUGGGCGUAAAGCGCACGUAGGCGGACUACUAAAGUCAGGGGUGAAAUCCCGGGGCUCAACCCCGGAACUGCCUUUGAUACUGAUAGUCUCGAGUCCGGAAGAGGUGAGUGGAAUUCCGAGUGUAGAGGUGAAAUUCGUAGAUAUUCGGAGGAACACCAGUGGCGAAGGCGGCUCACUGGUCCGGUACUGACGCUGAGGGUGCGAAAAGCGUGGGG
rnacentral:rRNA from 1 species